rnacentral:rRNA from 1 species
UACGGAGGGUGCAAGCGUUAUCCGGAUUCACUGGGUUUAAAGGGUGCGUAGGCGGGCAGGUAAGUCAGAGGUGAAAUCUCCGGGCUUAACCCGGAAACUGCCUUUGAUACUAUCUGUCUUGAAUAUGGUGGAGGUAAGCGGAAUAUGUCAUGUAGCGGUGAAAUGCUUAGAGAUGACAUAGAACACCAGUGGCGAAGGCGACUUACUGGACACAUAUUGACGCUGAGGUGCGAAAGCGUGGGGAGCAAACAGG